rnacentral:rRNA from 1 species
GUGAGGAAUUUUCCGCAAUGGGCGAAAGCCUGACGGAGCAAUGCCGCGUGAAGGAUGAAGGCCUAUGGGUUGUAAACUUCUUUUCUCAGAAAAGAAUUAUGACGGUAUCUGAGGAAUAAGCAUCGGCUAACUCUGUGCCAGCAGCCGCGGUAAGACAGAGGAUGCAAGCGUUAUCCGGAAUGAUUGGGCGUAAAGCGUCUGUAGGUUGUUUAAAAAGUAUUCUGUCAAAGAUUAGGGCUUAACCCUAGAUAGGCAGAAUAAACUUUUAAGAUAGAGUUUGGUAGAGGCAGAGGGAAUUCCCGGUGGAGCGGUGAAAUGCGUAGAUAUCGGGAGGAACACCAAAGGCGAAGGCACUCUGCUGGGCCAAUACUAACACUGAGAGACGAAAGCGAGGGGAGCAAAUGGGAUUAGAUACCCGAGUAGUCC